rnacentral:tRNA from 1 species
GGGCGGGUGGCGGAACUGGUAGACGCGCCGGACUUAGGCUCCGGUGCCGAAAGGCAUGAGGGUUCGAGCCCCUCCUCGCCCA